CACAUACUCCCUCCGUCCGAAAAUACUUGUCGGAUAAAUGGAUGUAUCUAGACGUAUUUUAGUUUUAGAUACAUCCAUUUUUAUGCAUUUCUCCGACGAGUAUUUCCGGACGGAGGGAGUACCUU
rnacentral:pre_miRNA from 1 species